rnacentral:misc_RNA from 1 species
GUUGAGUUCUUGUUUCUUUUUGAAUAAUUUCAAAAUCAUUAUUUUUAAUAACAUGUGGUCUAGAGUAGAACAACACAUACUGGUGGGAGUUCAGAAGCGAAAAUCAUUCUUUCCCUACUUCUUUCUGUUUGCUGCUGAAAGUUCAGAAGCAAGAACUUUGCAUAUGUCAUAAUUCUCACACUUUGCAGUGAAUCGUAUAUGGCACUAAUCCAACCUUUGGAAUGAACUCCAUACAAUAUUAUAAGACGAUCAAAUUAGUGAUAGCCUUAUUGAAUUAGAAUACUUGAUGAAAUUCUUGAUUUCUGGUUUGUCCUUUGAAGGCAA